rnacentral:tRNA from 1 species
GGGGAUUUAGCUCAGUGGUAGAGCACUUGCCUAGUAAGCACAAGGCCCUGGGUUCAGUCCCCA